UCUUACCGGGACGACAGCAAUAUGAAGGCCAGGCUGAAGACUUUGCCGGAUUAGCUGAGAGGUGGUGCACGGCCGUCGUCAGUUCGUACUGUGAAGCAUCCUGUUAAGUCAGGCGACGAGCGAGACCCACGCCCACAGUUGCCAGCGUACUCUCUGGAGUGACGGGUACACUGUGGGGACCGCCGCUGCUAAAGCGGAGGAAGGAAUGGGCAACGGUAGGUCAGUAUGCCCCGAAUAUCCCGGGCUACACGCGAGCUACAAUGGUUGGUACAAUGGGUAUCUACCCCGAAAGGGGACGGGAAUCUCCUAAAACCAAUCUUAGUUCGGAUUGAGGGCUGCAACUCGCCCUCAUGAAGCUGGAAUCCGUAGUAAUCGCGUUUCAACAGAACGCGGUGAAUACGUCCCUGCUCCUU
rnacentral:rRNA from 1 species